UUUUAAUGUUUUUUAAUAGUUUAUUGUGAUGUUUAAUAUGCAAAUUGGGUGUUGCUUUGUGUAUUAAACGUCAAUAAUCGUUGUUCACGAUUAUUGAGGCAUUGGAAUAAAACUGUGGCUAACAUAGCAGUGACUGUUUUUUUUUUCAAGAUAAAAGGUCUGCGGAAAUUCACGCUCACUCAAUGUGCUAUUCAUCGAGUCGACGUCAAAACUCCCAAAAAGCAAUAAAAAGAGAUACACCAGCUUUUUAUUAACAUAAAAAAUAUAAAAAAUAUAUCUACGCCAGACUAGGCUGUAUAGGCUACGCUCUUUGCCUGCUUGUUGGCGAAUUUAAAAACAACAACAACAAUAUCGUUGCCGGCUACCGGAUUUUAUUUCUUUUUAUUAUUAUUAUGACGAUAUAAUAUGAAUAAAAUGAGGAAAUCGCCGGACUUCCGCCCUUCACUGGGGAUGGCGGGCGGGGUAUGAGCACAAAAAUCCUAGGGCAACGUUAUUUUGAGGGCUGCUAUUUUUAGGCAUUUCUGACUGAAUAAUUAUUUGGAAUAGUAAGUUGGAAAAUAUAUUUAAAGAAAAGGACUACACUUGAAAUUGUAUGUUUAUUUACUUUGAAAUUUUUUCUUCAUUAACACCAAGCGUCCACAAUAUAUCUUCUGUCUUUCUCCAUCUGCACUAUAUAUUUCUCAUGAUUCUCUAAACAAUUAUCAUAUUUAGUAAGGCAUUUAAUUAAGACAUCUUUUAUUUGUUCUGCUAUCGUUCUAACAUCUCCGCAAACAAAUAUAUUUGCUCCAUCUUUUAUUAACUGAGCUAUCUUUUCUCCUUCAUUCAUAACAGCAUCCUGGAAAGUAAAAUUUAUAACAGUUACUCAUUUGAUGCAGUCAGUUUUAUUAAAAAAUUAUAUUUUUGCAAAUACAUUUUGCCUAGAACUAACAUGAGUACAAAUGUGUUCCCAACAUGGGUGAUUCGAGAAUAAGCCAAUGUAGGUUGUAAUCAUGGAUACUGAUACGUUUGCAAAAGCCUAUAGAAGAAAAUAAAUUUUGAAUCUUUCAACUAUAA